rnacentral:rRNA from 1 species
AUGUCUUCUCACAUUUCAGGCCAUAGCUAUUUUGUGGACGCAACAUCGGGAUCGAACUCUCCCCAUGCUCCGGUCGGCGAUGAUCAUGCCGAAGCUGACGCUGAUGCAGACCAAGCAGAAAGUUGGGUAGAAGGACAACUCAGCGAGCACUCGGUGAACGGCAGAGCCGACGGACCCUGUGAAAGUGCAGACGAAGGUGAGGCCGAUGGCGAAUUCAAAGUUCAAUCAAAGUUAGUCGCCGUGGAAGGAGUAGGCGAUUACGAUCCAGAUGAUCAUUUCAUAGUCGCCGAUGAUGAGACAGAUCCACUACAAGCUGGAAGCUACUCGGAGUCUGCAAACAACUGGGAGGCUCACCGGUGGGAGGAAGAUGAUGCUGAAGUGAGAGCUGUCAAGCGAGCAAGAAACGAUUAG